rnacentral:lncRNA from 1 species
AUCAAUAGGUUUUUAAUGUCAUCCUUUAGUUUUUGAUUGGAGGCCUUUAGUUCUUUAUUUUUUGCUCCUAACAUACCACAAUCAUUCAUGAGUUCUUGGAAAGCUUCAUAUAAUUCUUCUAAAGUAAAAUCUGUAGUUGAGCUUUGACAUACCUCAUCGUCGUCGAAUGCCAUGAAACACAAGUUGGCGGCUCAUCCUUCUCUUCCUCGGAGGAGGAUGUGUCACUAUCAUCCCAAGUUGCUUUCAACGCCUUCUUCUUCUUCUUUCCAUAGUGCUUCUUCUGUUGAGGGCAUUCGGAGCGGAUGUGUCCCGGUCUCUUGCAAUCAUAACAUAUGAUUGGGUCUC